rnacentral:lncRNA from 1 species
GACUCCUGCUUUAUGUAUCCAUUCAAACCCUCUUCUCACCAUGUGGAGUCCUUCAUUGUUGCUCAGGCAGAACCAGACAUUGUGUCUGGACCUGUAAUGGAAAACUCAGUGCUUGUGUCUGGAGGAGAAUCAAUUAAUCUGACGUGUGAUUUAAAAACAAAGGGGUAUUAUCCCAAUAAUCCUUUUGUGGUGUACUGGAUCAAGACUGGUGCUCACAGCAGCACAUGUGUGUAUUCCUUUGAUUACGCUACUGAUGAUUUUGGUUUUGAUGCCCACUGUGCCAUUGACAAAGAUCUUCUGUUAAGGAGAUCACACACAUCAAAACCCUCCCUUGAUGAUAACAACAUCCAUAACCUGAAGAUCAGCAAAGCCACUCAGUCAGACCGUGGACAGUAUCUGUGUGUCUUACAGGUGAACACAUAUAGUUAUAACCAGCAUGCUUGGGCAGUAAUAACCAACACCACAGUCAUUGUGGGUAAUCCUGGUAAGUCUAUGAACCUUACUUGAAAUUUUAUUUCCUCUCAGUUUAUUUUGUCACAUUGUGCUUCAACAGUUGAGCUUGAACCUGAACAUUUAGUUGGAUGCACAUUUUAAAAACCUUAACAUUAUUUACACAUGGGAACUGGUUUCCUAAGCCAGACAUUCAUGUGUUAUGUGAUCCAUGCUUAUCCUAACGUGCUUGACUAAAUAAUUAAUGGUAAAUUCUUGACAAUAAACUAAAUUUCACGAUAAUGUUAGUGUGUUGA